CUGAGGAAACUAAAACGAAAUCAGCUCCCCUCGCCUUUAACCUUGACGCCGCUCACCAACAGCACGACCUCGCACGAUCGCCAUCGCGAGCUGCGUGGCAUCCGUCUGCGUGAUCGCAAGAGCAGGGAGGCGACGCGACGGAACCCCCAGGACCCUGCCAUCGCAGCGUGUCAUCCGUCCGCGGGAUCGCCAGGAGCCUGGCUCCCGAUCCAGUCUCUCCCAAAAAAUCGCCAUUGCCACCCCACCGCCUGCCGCUGCUCCUCUGCUGGCUCGAGUGAACGGAGCCAAUCGGUGGAAGGAAGAGAUGGGCGGCGGCGGGGGAGGCGACGGUGCGGGCGUCACACAAGGAGUCCCGGGUCACCUCCGCCACCACGCGCGCCGAUGCCGCCGUGCGCCGCGAGCAGAUCCUCGCCGGCCGCGCAUCCUUCGCCGACCUGGCCGUGCUUCGCGACCAGAUCCUCGCCGGCCGCGCUUCCUUCGCCGACCUCGCCGUGCAGCAAUCUGACUGCUCCUCCGCCCGCCUCGGUGGCGACCUACGCUGCUAUUUCUUUCCACGAGUCCAGGAGUUGCUCACGUACGUCUGGAUACGGAUGAGCGUAUGCUCAAAGAUUGACCGUGGAUGGUCAUGCCGAUAGGCGACGACGACUGCGAGUAAUUGCUCCCUGAUCCCCUCCAUCUCAGAGUUGCCAACAGCCUCUGUGUCACCACUCACCAAAUGCCACUGCAUCAUCCAGGUGCCUUCAUAUUUUUUAGAGAAGAGUUCAUGACAGUUUGCAACCGUAUGAUGUCUGAUGAUUGCCUGCAUACACGGAUGAUGUGAAGCGACUGUUGGCAGGUUCUGAGAGCUGAGAAGAGGGAUGCAGGGAACAUCUACGUGUACAGCAUCAUGGGCGUAUUUGAAGUUGACCACCAAGGAGAACAAAUAUGUCCUACAUCGAGAUGGAGCGCAUAGUGCUGGAUCAGUUGGAUCAGACAGUUAGAAUCAUGGUCUUCAUGUUCCAGUACACCUGCUUCUUCUGUUAGCGUUUCUGUUUACUCUAAUUAAUCAAGGUCAAUCGUUGUUUCUGUUAGCGUUUCUGUUUACUCUAAUUAAUCAUAUACAGUUAGAACCAUUAUUAUUUUUUACUUCCAGUUAUAACACUUCAGCCCAUGCUUGUCGAAUUUGUGAUGCUUGUAAUGCUCUUGGUGGAAAAUAACAGACACACACUUGAUUUGCAUAACUAAUGGUGAAAGUUUAAAAAUGAUAGUAAUAUCAGUGUUCGACUUUGUUCAUCUGAAUUUUUUGUCAACAAAAACGUGAUGCAUGCUGAUGUAUCUUUUUUUUACGUGUCUCUUCUCUAUAGAAACAUAAGGCCAGCCUCCAUAUGAAGUUUUCUGCUCACAGUGCACAUAAUUCCAGUUUAUAUGAUUAACAUUUGCAUGUAUAUUUUAGCCUAAAGUUUAUAGUUCACUUUUCUCUUUGGGGUGAGUUGAGCUUAAACCUUGUGUUGGUAAGAGAGAAGGAGCAUAUUGAAGUUAGUUUAUGGCACUCCUGGAGUGCCUCUACCCAAGUAUCAGUCUCAGACUGAUUGCU